AAGUCGUAACAAGGUUUCCGUAGGUGAACCUGCGGAAGGAUCAUUACAUUCAGUAGCCCAGCUACUUGUUUACACCCUUGUUUUUUUGCGUACCUAUCGUUUCCUCGGCGGGCUUGCCUGCCGGUUGGACAACUUUAUAACCUUUUUAAAUCUUCAAUCAGCGUCUGAACAAUAUACAAAUAAUUACAACUUUCAACAACGGAUCUCUUGGUUCUG
rnacentral:misc_RNA from 1 species